rnacentral:rRNA from 1 species
AACGAACGCUGGCGGCAGGCUUAACACAUGCAAGUCGAACGCCCCGCAAGGGGAGUGGCAGACGGGUGAGUAACGCGUGGGAACAUACCCUUUCCUGCGGAAUAGCUCUGGGAAACUGGAAUUAAUACCGCAUACGCCCCACGGGGGAAAGAUUUAUCGGGGAAGGAUUGGCCCGCGUUGGAUUAGCUAGUUGGUGGGGUAAAGGCCUACCAAGGCGACGAUCCAUAGCUGGUCUGAGAGGAUGAUCAGCCACAUUGGGACUGAGACACGGCCCAAACUCCUACGGGAGGCAGCAGUGGGGAAUAUUGGACAAUGGGCGCAAGCCUGAUCCAGCCAUGCCGCGUGAGUGAUGAAGGCCUUAGGGUUGUAAAGCUCUUUCACCGAUGAAGAUAAUGACGGUAGUCGGAGAAGAAGCCCCGGCUAACUUCGUGCCAGCCGCCGCAGUAA